UACGUCGGGUGCAAGCUUUAAUCGGAAUUACUGGGCGUAAAGCGUGCGCAGGCGGUUAUAUAAGACAGUUGUGAAAUCCCCGGGCUCAACCUGGGAACUGCAUCUGUGACUGUAUAGCUAGAGUACGGUAGAGGGGGAUGGAAUUCCGCGUGUAGCAGUGAAAUGCGUAGAUAUGCGGAGGAACACCGAUGGCGAAGGCAAUCCCCUGGACCUGUACUGACGCUCAUGCACGAAAGCGUGGGGAGCAAACAGG
rnacentral:rRNA from 1 species